CUAGGCAAGCUCAAGACCAAUCUAGCACCAUGAGAGAGGAGCUUCCCCUUCCAGCACCGGCUUCCCCUUCGCUCGAGCGGUUCCAUCUUCCCCUCGCGCGCAGUUCCCACGACUCGACGGUUCCUCACCGCGCGCCCCUCCUGCUUGGCGUCCCCGCCUCGCCCCGACGCCGCCCUCGCCCUCCACGUCUCGCUCGCCGACGCCGCCGGGCCGCCAUCCCGCUUUCGCGCCGGCCUCGCCUCCCCUUCUCACUCGCCGGCGCCGCCGCCGCGCCCUGUCCGCUCGGUCUCCCGGUCGCGCCCCCUCCCCCGCGCCCGUCCCCCUCGGUCUCCCGGCGCAGACCGCGCGAGGCGCGGUGCGAGAAGACCGUCGUCCCCUUCUCACUCGGGCCGUCCCCUUCUCACUCGCCGGCGCUGCCUCCGCGCCCAUCCCGCUCACCGGGAAAGGAAGACCUAAGGGCGGGCGGCGCCGCCCUCUCCCUCCCCGUCGCGCUCCCGGUUGCGCCCCCUCCCCCGCGCCCAUCCCCUCGGUCUCCCGGCGCAGAUCUCCGGCGCACUCGACGACCUCGCCGCGCGACCGUCCUCCCGGCGCGGAUCCACCACGCGCGGGGUGCGCGGUCGUCGUCCCUGAAGCCCGGCUGCCUUCCGUCGCGCCCGCCUCGCCCCCGCCUCGCGCGUGUGCCGGCACACGUCAAGAUCGACCAGCAGCUGGGGCGACAACACCUCGGAGGGCAUCAUAUCUGUGCCCAACGAUCACGGGUUCAGAAAUCGGAGUUUGUGCAGUGGCCUGUCGCUCUACUGUUCACCUCUGCACCAGGUUUCAAGUACUUUGAUCUUUAUCCGGCUUCUUUGUUCGGAUCAGUCAGUAGCCAACAUGUUGUCAAGAGAAUUUAUCUUCUACCUAAAAAGAACGAAGUUGGGGUAUGUCCGCUCGCUCGUGUGUCCGUUGUCGCGGUGUGUCCGCCCGUCGCCCGCACCGGCUCCCCCUUCGCUCGAGAUUGUUCACUGCAGACCUUCCAGUCUGUUUGUACAAAACUGAAAGCCUGAAAUGUUGUCCAUCAAGAUAUAUACCUAGCAUGUGUCAUCAAUUAUGCCACUUUCAUAAAAGCUCAAGGAAUUGAAUCUUGGUGGCACGUAGAGAUCUUAUUGCAGUUUUCAAAUGGGAGAAAAGUGUUUUCUUGAAAGCCAUCAUCUGCUGCAGCUACAAAAAAGCUUGGUGGAGCACACUCAUGCAGGAGACACUAUGGGUUGGGGAUGGCCUAAAUAACCUCGCUGAUGAUGUCUUGAAGUCCACCACGACGCCAGCGCAAAGAUGCGGAGAGCCGGACACAGCGGCGAUUGGCCGUGGCGACAACAUCAAGGAGCAUGCAUGUAACAUGAGGUAGAUGUUGUGGCGGGAGUUUUUUUACAGGUGCUUUACUGUGUGAAUCUAGUGUCCGGAUUGGACGUUCGGGUGCUAGCAGUUCCGUUUUGAUUUUUGAUAUGGCAUGCACCUUGAUUAAUUUGGCCUUUGGUGCGGCUUUGAUUUUGUUUUCUUUCGAGAAUCGAAGACGGAGAAGAACUCAAGAACGGAGAUCGAAGUGGACGGCGGGUGGCGAUCCAGUGGGCAUUAGCCUCACAUACCCUUCGACUGCCUAAAUUUACUCCCUCCAUCCCUAAUAUAUUCAUUUUCGUUUCCUGAUAAACAACUUUGACUAAAUAUAUAUAAUAUUAAUAUUUAUGAUACAUAAUUAGUAUGUCA